CUUGUGUCAAUCGCUCCGAGAGGGAGAGGGUGUGAGACCCAAAAUCACCCCACAAGGAGAGGGUGUGAGGCCCACUUUCUAUCCUAUUCCUUCUACUUAAGAUUCAGUAUUCCUGCGACUCUGAUCGACUCCACCAUCUACCCAUGCAAGCCUAUUCCGUCAAGAGAAGAUCUGUCUCUUCCAGAAUUUUUAUCUGUCGUGCUGAGAGAAGGAGUGAUUUCUUAUUCUAC
rnacentral:lncRNA from 1 species